CCGGUGUUAUAUGCUUGUCUUAAGGAUUAAGCCAUGCAAGUGUAUGUGUAAGCAAAACACACAGCGGAACUGCGAACGGCUCAUUACAUCAGAGAUAGUUCCCUUGAGGUUGGAACUAAACGGGGCCGGUGUCUGGCGGGGGCGACUCCGUUAGGUGCCGGUCCACUACAUGGAUAACCGUAGAAAAUCUAGAGCUAAUACAUGCAAAAAGGCCGAACUACUUAAAGGAACGGCUGCACUCGUUAGAUACAAAAACCAACUCAAGCGGCCCCGCGUCGUUUGGUUAAUGGUGAUUCAUAACAAGAGCCUUCUGGUCCCUGGCGAUUAGGAGGGGUAAGCUGAUUGCACGGUCACUUAAACCGGCAACACUUCAUUCAAAUUCCUGUCCUAUCAACUUUUGACGGUAGCACAUUGGCUUACCAGGGUCGCCACGGGUACGAGGAAUUAGGGUUUGAUUUCGGAGAGUGUGCCUGAGAGAUGGCAAACACUUCCAAGGAAGGCAGCAGGCGCGCAAAUUACCCACUUUUAACCCAAAGAGGUAGUGACAAUAAAUAACAAUGCAGAGCCCUUAAAGGCAUUGCAAUUGGAAUGAGAACGGCACAAACAGCUUAGCGAGAAACAAUUGGAGGGCAAGUCUGGUGCCAGCAGCCGCGGUAAUUCCAGCUCCAAUAGCAUAUGAUAAAGUUGCUGCAGUUAAAAAGCUCGUAGCUCAGUUUUUCGCCGCGCGUGAGGCAUGGUCUGCCGGAACAUGGUGUGUACUGGCCUUAGGCGCGUUUGCAAACUAGAAAGCGCGGUUCGUCGUCGCCUGUUCUUAAGUGAAUGGGCGAUGUUCUCCGUGCCGAUUACCUUGACAAAAUUAGAGUGUUCAAAGCAGGCCGAAGUGCCUUAAAUAGUUAAGCGAGGGAUAAUGAAAUAUGGUGCCUUCCACAUUUUGUUGGUUUUCGUGGGAGGUGCAAUGACAAAUAGGGGAAAUCGGGGUAGUUCAUAUUUGGCCGCUAGAGGUGAAAUUCUUUGACCGGCUAAAGAUGAACUUCAGCGAAAGCAUUCUGCAUGUAUUCUCCCAUUAGUCAAGAACGAAAGUUAAGGGAUCGAAGACGAUCAGAUACCGUCGUAGUCUUAACUGUAAACUAUGCCGACCAGAGAUUGAAAGUUGUCGUGUGAAUGACUCCUCCAGCAUCUUGUGAGAAAUCACGAGUUUUUGGGCUUUGGGGGGAGUACGGUCGCAAGGCUGAAACUUAAAGGAAUUGACGGAAGGUUACACCAGGAGUGGAGCCUGCGGCUU
rnacentral:rRNA from 1 species